AAGUCGUAACAAGGUUUCCGUAGGUGAACCUGCGGAAGGAUCAUUAUUGAAUGAAUGUAGAGUUGGUUGUAGCUGGUCUCUCUGAGGCAUGUGCACGCCUUCUCUUUCAUCCACACACCCCUGUGCACCUGUGAGACGGAGGCUUGUUCCUUUAAUUAGGACGGCAUUCGUCUGCUUAACAUAAAAUCAUAUAAUUAAAUCUUGAAUGUAAUUGAUGUAACGCAUCUAAUACAAAGUUUCAACAACGGAUCUCUUGGCUCUC
rnacentral:misc_RNA from 1 species